AGGUCUAGUACCGGUACUCGGGUAAUGCAGUGCCGGUACUCUGUGUAACAUACCAGAUUUUGAUAUAAAAGUAAAAAAAAAUAAAAAUAGUGUGAGGUACUAUUUUUAUUGAAUUUAGAGAAGUAAAAUAUAAGUCGGAAACGACUUGUGCUGAAAUCGAAAUAAAAACAGAAGAUUUAAAAUUUUCUGUGAGAAAUAGAGCUGAUAUUUUAGCAGAAAAUGCACAGUGUCAGAAAAUUAUAAAAACUGGAGAAUAUGUCAGAAUUAUUUUUAUGAGGCUACAUUUAAAGUUUCAUGUCAUUCUGACACCCGGAAGGUGAAAAAUAAAAUCCGACUGCUAUCUGCUAGAGAUUACAGUUCGGUAGAGCUAUCGGUGACCAAAUGUGGUCGAAACUGAAAGAUUA
rnacentral:lncRNA from 1 species